rnacentral:rRNA from 1 species
UACGAAGGUGUCAAACGUUGUCCGGAAUUACUGGGCGUAAAGGGCGCGUAGGCGGCCUGUUAAGUCGAACGUGAAAUCCCCGGGCUCAACCCGGGAACUGCGUCCGAUACUGGCAGGCUUGAAUCCGGGAGAGGGAUGUGGAAUUCCAGGUGUAGCGGUGAAAUGCGUAGAUAUCUGGAGGAACACCGGUGGCGAAGGCGGCAUCCUGGACCGGUAUUGACGCUGAGGCGCGAAAGCCAGGGGAGCAAACGGG